GAUACUCCCAAAGAUCCUAAAUGAAAAGUAACUGUCAUGCGCGAGAAUGACGAGAAUUCCCUUCAAAUACGAUUUUGACGUUGAUGUUAUUUUGUUCCAAACGACAACAAAAUUUACAUUUUCUGUUGUUUCCCAUUUUAAUUGCAGAGUGGGAUGAAACAGAUGAAAUUUGGUAUUAUUAUAUCAACAGCUACAAAAAUAUACAAAAUCUUCUGCAGACCAAUUUUUAAUAUAAACACAUUAUACAGAACUGAACUAGUGCCAAUAAGGAAAAGACUGCAAAAAUUUCCAAGGAAACUUCUAAAGGCUACACAACAUAGAACUAAAGUUGAUCAAUUAAUGUGAUUUGAUAAUAUGAAAGAGAAGUUUGUAUGAUGAGAUUGAAUUGAAAGUGCCCUUUUGUUACUAUGAAUAAGUAUUCAAAUUAAAGCUUCUUAUAAUUA